rnacentral:rRNA from 1 species
AUUGAACGCUGGCGGCAGGCCUAACACAUGCAAGUCGAGCGGAGCGGCGGACGGGUGAGUAAUGCCUAGGAAUCUGCCUGGUAGUGGGGGAUAACGUCCGGAAACGGGCACUAAUACCGCAUACUAUCAGAUGAGCCUAGGUCGUAUUAGCUAGUGGGUGGGGUAAAGGCCUACCAAGGCGACGAUCCGUAACUGGUCCGGGAGGUUGAUCAGUCACACGGGAACGGAGACACGGUCCGGCCUCCUACGGAGAGCAACAGUGGGGAAUAUUGGACAAUGGGCGAAGGCCUGAUCCAGCCAUGCCGCGUGUGUGAAGAGGGUCUUCGGAUUGUAAAGAGCGUUAAUUUGGGCGACGUUACCGAAAUAAUAAGCAACGGCUAACUUCGUGCCAGCAGCCGCGGUAAUAC